GCCACCCUAGCUCAGUUGGUAGAGCAACUCACUCGUAAUGAGUAGGUCGCCAGUUCGAUUCUGGCGGGUGGCUCCA
rnacentral:tRNA from 1 species